rnacentral:rRNA from 1 species
GAUGAACGCUGGCGGCGUGCCUAAUACAUGCAAGUCGAGCGAACGGACGAGAAGCUUGCUUCUCUGAUGUUAGCGGCGGACGGGUGAGUAACACGUGGAUAACCUACCUAUAAGACUGGGAUAGCUUCGGGAAACCGGAGCUAAUACCGGAUAAUAUUUUGAACCGCAUGGUUCAAAAGUGAAAGACGGUCUUGCUGUCACUUAUAGAUGGAUCCGCGCUGCAUUAGCUAGUUGGUAAGGUAACGGCUUACCAAGGCAACGAUGCAUAGCCGACCUGAGAGGGUGAUCGGCCACACUGGAACUGAGACACGGUCCAGACUCCUACGGGAGGCAGCAGUAGGGAAUCUUCCGCAAUGGGCGAAAGCCUGACGGAGCAACGCCGCGUGAGUGAUGAAGGUCUUCGGAUCGUAAAACUCUGUUAUUAGGGAAGAACAUAUGUGUAAGUAACUGUGCACAUCUUGACGGUACCUAAUCAGAAAGCCACGGCUAACUACGUGCCAGCAGCCGCGGUAAUACGUAGGUGGCAAGCGUUAUCCGGAAUUAUUGGGCGUAAAGCGCGCGUAGGCGGUUUUUUAAGUCUGAUGUGAAAGCCCACGGCUCAACCGUGGAGGGUCAUUGGAAACUGGAAAACUUGAGUGCAGAAGAGGAAAGUGGAAUUCCAUGUGUAGCGGUGAAAUGCGCAGAGAUAUGGAGGAACACCAGUGGCGAAGGCGACUUUCUGGUCUGUAACUGACGCUGAUGUGCGAAAGCGUGGGGAUCAAACAGGAUUAGAUACCCUGGUAGUCCACGCCGUAAACGAUGAGUGCUAAGUGUUAGGGGGUUUCCGCCCCUUAGUGCUGCAGCUAACGCAUUAAGCACUCCGCCUGGGGAGUACGACCGCAAGGUUGAAACUCAAAGGAAUUGACGGGGACCCGCACAAGCGGUGGAGCAUGUGGUUUAAUUCGAAGCAACGCGAAGAACCUUACCAAAUCUUGACAUCCUUUGACAACUCUAGAGAUAGAGCUUUCCCCUUCGGGGGACAAAGUGACAGGUGGUGCAUGGUUGUCGUCAGCUCGUGUCGUGAGAUGUUGGGUUAAGUCCCGCAACGAGCGCAACCCUUAAGCUUAGUUGCCAUCAUUAAGUUGGGCACUCUAAGUUGACUGCCGGUGACAAACCGGAGGAAGGUGGGGAUGACGUCAAAUCAUCAUGCCCCUUAUGAUUUGGGCUACACACGUGCUACAAUGGACAAUACAAAGGGCAGCGAAACCGCGAGGUCAAGCAAAUCCCAUAAAGUUGUUCUCAGUUCGGAUUGUAGUCUGCAGCUCGACUACAUGAAGCUGGAAUCGCUAGUAAUCGUAGAUCAGCAUGCUACGGUGAAUACGUUCCCGGGUCU